rnacentral:rRNA from 1 species
ACGAUGCAGGUCGAGCGGUAACAUUUCUAGCUUGCUAAAACAGGACGAGCGGGGGACGGGGGAGUAAUGCGUGGGAACUGCCUUGUGGUGGGGGACACCAGUUGGAAACGACUGCGAAUACCGCAUAAUGUCUACGGACCAAAGGGGGCUUCUGCUCUCUCCUUUUUAUUGUCCCAAGUGGGAUUAUCUAUUUGGGGAGGUAAUGGGUCACCAAGGCGACAAUCCCUAUCUGUUUUUAGAGGAUGAUCUCCCCCACUGGGACUGAGACACGGCCCACACUCCUACGGGAGGCACCAGUGGGGAAUAUUGCACAAUGGGCGCAAGCCUGAUGCACCCAUGCCCCGUGUGUGAAAAAAGCCUUCUGGUUGUAAAGCACUUUCUCUCACGAGGAAAGGUUAUAAUUUAAUACCUGCUAUCUGUGACGUUACUGAGAGAAAAAACACCGGCUAAAUCCGUGCCACCACCCCCGGUAAUACAGAGGGGGCGAGCGUUAAUCGCAAUUACUGGGCGUAAAGCGUACACACGCGGUUUGUUAAACGAGAUGUGAAAACCCCGGGCUCACCCUGGGAACUGCGUUUCUAACUGUGAAACUAUAGUGUGAUAUAGGGUGGGAGAAUUUCACGUGUAUCGCUGAAAUGCGUAUAGAUCUGAAAGAAUACCGAUGUGGAAAGCACCCACCUGUGUCACCACUGACACUCAUGUACAAAAGCGUGUGGAGCAAACAGGAUUAUAUACACUGGUAUUCCCCGCCGUAAACAAUGUCUACUAUAGGCUCGCAACCUCGCUUCUGUUUUUCAAAGCUAACACAUUAUAUAUACCGCCUGUGGAGUACAGCCGCAAGGUUAUAACACACAUAAAUUGACAGGGGCCCGCACACACGCUGGAGCAUGUGUUUUAUUAUCUAUGCACCGCGAAAACACUUACAUACACUUUUUCAUACACAGAACU